CCUACGGGAGGCAGCAGUGAGGAAUAUUGGUCAAUGGACGAGAGUCUGAACCAGCCAAGUAGCGUGAAGGAUGACUGCCCUAUGGGUUGUAAACUUCUUUUAUAUGGGAAUAAAACGUUCCACGUGUGGGAUUUUGUAUGUACCAUAUGAAUAAGGAUCGGCUAACUCCGUGCCAGCAGCCGCGGUAAUACGGAGGAUCCGAGCGUUAUCCGGAUUUAUUGGGUUUAAAGGGAGCGUAGGUGGAUUGUUAAGUCAGUUGUGAAAGUUUGCGGCUCAACCGUAAAAUUGCAGUUGACACUGGCAGUCUUGAGUACAGUAGAGGUGGGCGGAAUUCGUGGUGUAGCGGUGAAAUGCUUAGAUAUCACGAAGAACUCCGAUUGCGAAGGCAGUUCACUGGACUGCAACUGACACUGAGGCUCGAAAGUGUGGGUAUCAAACAGGAUUAGAUACCCUAGUAGUC
rnacentral:rRNA from 1 species